rnacentral:rRNA from 1 species
UACGGGGGGAGCAAGCGUUGUUCGGAUUUACUGGGCGUAAAGGGCGCGUAGGCGGCCUGUGCAAGUCAGUUGUGAAAUCUCCGGGCUUAACUCGGAACGGUCAACUGAUACUGCUCGGCUAGAGUGCGGAAGGGGCAACUGGAAUUCUUGGUGUAGCGGUGAAAUGCGUAGAUAUCGAGAGGAACACCAGUGGCGAAGGCGAGUCCCUGGACAACACCUGACACUGAGGCACGAAAGCUAGGGGAGCAAACAGG